AUUGUGUUGCAGUCUCUUUUACAAUGCUUGUCUUAAUAAAGAAUAUUGCUUGUUGAGUUCAUCUAAUUUAUUGGGGGGAGGGAGGGUGUUAAUUGGCAUACAAAACACCACAAGUUAGCAUAUGUUUGUAAUUUUUUCUAUUAGUGCUCUUCCCACAAUAGCAAUUUAGAUCCCUCCUAAAGACCUCUAGAAAAUGAUGACAGAACAGCUCAUAUUUUUUUGUGUGUGUGGUGCUAAAAGCUAAUCGGGUGCAGCUCUGUCUUAUUUUUCAUUUGCUGAAUGGUAUUUUAGACUUUCUUUUGUCUUACUAGCAUUUAUCUAAAUUUGAAAGAGGACUAGAAGACGGCAUUUUAAAAAAUGUGAAUGGUUGUGCUUCAUGAACAUGGAGACUCUGGAGAAAGAAGUAUUUUCCCCCUCUGCUUCCUCCACCUGAGUCACUGAACAUCAGAUCCUUCUUUUAUAGCCUUUCAGUUUUGAAUUGGUGCUAUGCUGGCUGACUAUGCAAGUCAAAAGGAUGGCAGUUUAUCCCUUCUGCUGACACGUUCCAUCUUUCUAGCUUGUGAGCUUUUGCAAAGCAAGGUUAUCAGCAAUCUGCUGCAGAGUCCUUCCCACUCAGUAAAUCAAAGCCUUGCUCUUCUCUGGUUCGUUUCCAUGGACAGAUGAUUCAAUCCUCCUUCACUUCCCAGCAGGAAAGCCCGUCAUCCUUGAGCCACCGCCAGCCCUGCCGACCCACUGAGCCCUGCACUGCUGCAACCAUCUUGAUCGGUCCAGAUCCAGCCUGUCCCUCACAGGCAGCCCAUCCUCUCCUCCCCUGCAGCCCCCAUCUGCCAGCAAAACCCCAUGUAUGAGAAGUGGAGAAGGAGGGGCUCAUUUUACAAUGACAUUAAGAAUUCAUUCCCUUAAAUGAGGUAUGUCACCUUGCCAUUUUAACUUGAUUCAUUAAAAUAGUGGCUCAUUAGUUAUUCCCUUGUGUGGUAUAGAAUUUGCACAUUAAAGGCGUAUGCAUUUCAAGUGCUCGCUACAUUCAGG
rnacentral:lncRNA from 1 species